rnacentral:rRNA from 1 species
UGGGGAAUUUUGGACAAUGGGCGCAAGCCUGAUCCAGCAAUGCCGCGUGUGUGAAGAAGGCCUUCGGGUUGUAAAGCACUUUUGUCCGGAAAGAAAACGUCGUGGUUAAUACCCGUGGCGGAUGACGGUACCGGAAGAAUAAGCACCGGCUAACUACGUGCCAGCAGCCGCGGUAAUACGUAGGGUGCAAGCGUUAAUCGGAAUUACUGGGCGUAAAGCGUGCGCAGGCGGUUCGCUAAGACAGAUGUGAAAUCCCCGGGCUUAACCUGGGAACUGCAUUUGUGACUGGCGGGCUAGAGUAUGGCAGAGGGGGGUAGAAUUCCACGUGUAGCAGUGAAAUGCGUAGAGAUGUGGAGGAAUACCGAUGG